rnacentral:rRNA from 1 species
UGGCGAAAGCCUGAUCCAGCCACGCCGCGUGGUGAUGAAGGCCUUCGGGUUGUAAAGCCCUGUCGGGAGGGACGAAUACUGACGGUACCUCCAAGAAGCACCGGCUAACUCCGUGCCAGCAGCCGCGGUAAUACGGAGGGUGCAAGCGUUGCUCGGAAUUACUGGGCGUAAAGCGUACGCAGGCGGUCUGAUAAGUCGGGUGUGAAAGCCCCAGGCUCAACCUGGGAACUGCAUCCGAAACUGCCAGACUUGAGUUCGGGAGAGGGAAGUGGAAUUCCUGGUGUAGAGGUGAAAUUCGUUGAUAUCAGGAGGAACACCGGCGGCGAAAGCGGCUUCCUGGCCCGAUACUGACGCUCAUGUACGAAAGCGUGGGGAGCAAACAGGAUUAGAUACCCUGGUAGUCCACGCCGUAAACGAUGAGUGCUAGAUGUUGGAGGUAUUCACCCCUUCAGUGUCGAAGCUAACGCAUUAAGCACUCCGCCUGGGGAGUACGGCCGCAAGGUUAAAACUCAAAGGAAUUGACGGGGGG